rnacentral:tRNA from 1 species
GCCUGGCUGGCUCAGUUGGCGGAGCCUGGGACUCUUGAUCUUGGGGCUGUGAGUUCAAGCCCCAUGUUGGGUG